GCCUGCAACCAGAGUGCUGUGCAGUGUUCAGACUUCUCCACGAACACAAAGGUAAAAAAGCACGCUUAGAUUGGAAUACUGAUGCUGCGUCUUUGAUUGGAGAAGAACUUCAAGUAGAUUUCCUGGAUCAUGUUCCGCUCACAACACACAACUUUGCUCGGAAGACGUUCCUGAAGCUUGCCUUCUGUGACAUCUGUCAGAAGUUCCUGCUCAAUGGAUUUCGAUGUCAGACUUGUGGCUACAAAUUUCAUGAGCACUGUAGCACCAAAGUACCUACUAUGUGUGUGGACUGGAGUAACAUCAGACAACUCUUGUAAGGCAUUGUUCUUUUUCUCAAGAAAUAUAGGGAUGAGGAGUAUGAAUACUUUAAAGGGUAUUUGUUGUAGAUUUUGACUGACAGGUCUGGAUUCUAGACUCAUUUAAUGAAUUGUGAUCCAGAAACUACUUUUAGAAACAGUGAUAAUUCUGAAACUAGCUAGGUUUGGUGGCAUUAAUACUCCAGAAUGAGCAAGUAGGAGUAGGACUUGUUAUCUGUCAAAUUGAGAUUGACAUACUGUGACUGUGAUUCAGUAAGGAAAAGAGCAAAAGGAUAUGAAAACAAGAUUUUUUGCUUUUCUCUCUUAAUAGUAUC
rnacentral:sRNA from 1 species